CGGACGGGUGAGUAACGCGUGGGUAACCUGCCUCAUACAGGGGGAUAACAGUUAGAAAUGACUGCUAAUACCGCAUAAGCGCACGAAGGCGCAUGCCUUUGUGUGAAAAACUCCGGUGGUAUGAGAUGGACCCGCGUUAGAUUAGCCAGUUGGCAGGGUAACGGCCUACCAAAGCGACGAUCUAUAGCCGGCCUGAGAGGGCGACCGGCCACAUUGGGACUGAGACACGGCCCAA
rnacentral:rRNA from 1 species